UGUUUAGUUGUACAUUUAAGUGACAGAAUAUGUUUGCUGGUCUGGGGGUUGGUAAUGUGUUAGUGUGUCUUUAGGUCCCUAGCUCGAGUCCUCAAGAGUGUUUUGAGGGACCAUUUUUGUUUUGUUUUAAAGGUUUAGAUAAUUAUUUUUUUUACUUAGUGUUUAUUUUAUUAUUUUUAUUUUUUCUAGACGUUCUCUUCUUCCCCUUUCUUUGUUUUUUUGUUCUUUCUUCUUUUCUUUUUUUAAAAACUGUUGUGUUGUGGUUUUUGGAGAGCUUCAGUUUCUUGGUCAUUGAGUUGGGUUUUGGACGUCUCUAAUCGCGAAUCAGGUAUGGGUUCAAACUCUUCAAUUUCAAUUUGUUAUCUCUAUUGUGUAGAACUUGACAUGUUUUAAGUGUUUUGGUGAAUGUGUGGUAGGUUUUGCUUUUAAGUUUCAUAAAACUUGGUUUUCUAUGGC
rnacentral:lncRNA from 1 species